GAUGAACGCUGGCUACAGGCUUAACACAUGCAAGUCGAGGGGAACGACAUCGAAAGCUUGCUUUUGAUGGGCGUCGACCGGCGCACGGGUGAGUAACGCGUAUCCAACCUGCCCACCACUUGGGGAUAACCUUGCGAAAGUAAGACUAAUACCCAAUGAUAUCUCUAGAAGGCAUCUGAAAGGGAUUAAAGAUUUAUCGGUGAUGGAUGGGGAUGCGUCUGAUUAGCUUGUUGGCGGGGUAACGGCCCACCAAGGCUACGAUCAGUAGGGGUUCUGAGAGGAAGGUCCCCCACAUUGGAACUGAGACACGGUCCAAAACUCCUACGGGAGGCAGCAGUGAGGAAUAUUGGUCAAUGGGCGAGAGCCUGAACCAGCCAAGUAGCGUGCAGGAUGACGGCCCUAUGGGUUGUAAACUGCUUUUAUGCGGGGAUAAAUUGACUCACGUGUGGGUUAUUGCAGGUACCGCAUGAAUAAGGACCGCUAAUCCGUGCCAGCAGCC
rnacentral:rRNA from 1 species